UCGCAUGAUUCAUUUUUUGGGGGAUGGUGGACAGACAGAGAGAGUGCGGAAGUAAGCGAGCGCCCGAGAGAGAGAGAGAGAGAGAGAGAGAGAGAAAGAGAGAGGAAGAAAUAAGCUUCAUUCCCUGCAUUUGAAAGGCGGUAAUUCAAUAACCACAUUUUAAACAUUGUGGUUAGUUUACCGUGUUCUUUUAAUAGCCCACUCAUUGUUCAGUCAAAGAAUA
rnacentral:lncRNA from 1 species